GGACUACUGGGGUAUCUAAUCCUGUUUGAUCCCCACGCUUUCGUGCCUCAGCGUCAGUUACAGUUUCGUCAGCUGCCUUCGCAAUCGGUGUUCUGUGUCAUAUCUAUGCAUUUCACCGCUACAUGACACAUUCCGCCAACGGCAUCUGUACUCAAGACCUACAGUAUCAAUGGCACGUUCGUUGUUAAGCAACGAGAUUUCACCACUGACUUAUAAGUCCGCCUACGCACCCUUUAAACCCAAUAAAUCCGGAUAACGCUUGCAUCCUUCGUAUUACCGCGGCGGCUGGCAC
rnacentral:rRNA from 2 species